ACUUCCAUAUGCCACAGGUGCAGCCAUAAAAAGAAAAAAAAUGCAGGUUGGUUGAAUGAAUACAUGAACUCAGGUCAGUUCUUUGUGGUGGUUUUCAUACUGGCUGCCAAGUUCUCAGACAGUCCUCCACUGGUGGUCCCUCUCCUUGAAUACUUCUGUCCUUCCACCACUUUAGUUGGGCAGAAGUGACACGAGUGAUUUCAAAGCUGAGUCAUAAGAGGUCACUCAGCUUUUGCAUGUCUUCUGGGGGCCGGGAGGCCCGUGUAGGCUGUCCAGCCACCCUGAGGCUGCCAUGUUGGGGAAACCAGGGCACUGACCACCGGGAACCUCUCACCCAGCAGAGACAGACGCUCAGCGUGGCUCUGGACCUUAGACAUGCGAUAAAGCAACCUACGGAGGAGUCCAGCCCCACCUGAUGCCAAGAGCUUUUUAAAGAGAUGGAGCACACCAUCGUGAAAUGAGAGACUUUGAUCAAACAACAAUCCUUUUGGCCUAGAAGUCACGUGAGAGCAUGCAAACCAUUUUCACCUGUGUGAUCCUCCAAUUCCCAUAACUACCCCUUGACACGAACGAGAGGAACAGUUCUAUAUUCCUCCUUAAUAAAGUUAUGCUCCUGGCUCAGGAUCAUGCUUGUUCACAGCUGAGCUGAGACUAGGAAACAAACCUCCUUGAAUUGCAAGUCGAGAAAUAGGACAGAAAGGAAAUGAAAAGGAAUACCGUCAGCUGACGUGUUUGAAUAGCAAAUUAUUGUCGCUUCAAUUUUCCUUGAUUACAAUUUUGUCUUUUCAAUAAACAAAAUCAGAACAUUUUAAAAAAAGAAAUUCUGGGUCUUCAUAAAGUGGACAGUGUUGAACUAUUUUGAAGUGUGUAAUUUUAAAUAUAAAUAACUCAAUUGUAGGCACAACAGAAACUAGAUAGUGAAUGAUCCUUCUCAUUGCUGUCAUUGACUUUAAUUUUUCUAGUUCUAGGAAAACGGUAGAGAACUUGUUGUGAUCCGAAUCAGAAAACAGAAUAUAUUGAGUUCCACUGGGGUGGCCUAAAAAAAUGUACAUGCAUUUGUCUUUAAAUGCUACUUGGCAAUGUGUUCUAUUAUGCGGCCAAGGUCAAGUGUUGGACUGUAGAGAAUCCCCAGGAUUUCAUGGGUACCAUGUCACAUCUUCAUCAACAAGGCACUUGAAUGCAAGUCUUUGCUAUCUAACCCUAUGCUAGCAAUAGAACACACCAAGUCAGGACAUAAUGGCCCACGCUCCGUAGAGUCAGGGUCCCACUCUCAAGGUCAGAUCUUCUGGUGGCCUUAAUAAGGCAGACAGCUGGACAGGCUGUGUCUGUCUGCAUUCUGAGUAGGGAGGAGGGAUGUGCUGGUGAUCAGAAGAGAGGAGGGGUGGAGAUGGAGUGGAAGGCGAUGAAGCUGACCUUUGUUCCUACUUAGUGAAGCAAUAUCCUCAGGAUCACACCCAUCACUGGCUGAGCCGAAGCUGGAAGAGAUCUCAUGGGAGGCCACUGUGAGACAACAAAGAUGACAUCUGUACCCAUGGUGUUCCUCAAAGAUGGACGCCUGAGACCUGAUUCUGAAGCCCUGCUGGAGGGUUGGCCAGGAGUCCAGAAUUGGCAUGUCGAUCAAUGCUGAGUCCCCCUGAAAGAAGCGUGUUCAGUUGUGUCAUCGUCUCAACAGCUCCAAAGGUAACAAAGAGUAAAACCAGUCUCAGGUUCUGUUCCAGGGCAACAGGAGGAGUGACCCUUGAAUUUCUGGCUCUACAAAGAGAGGCUCUUCCUCACCACCUCAACCCAGGGGCAAGUCUUUGCACUUCCCUGAACCUCGGUGCCUAAAGUGAGCUGAGCGGUUGGGACAUUAGCCUUUAGAGUUCUUUUGUGUCUGAUGUUUGAUGAUGUCUUGAGAUGAAACAGUUGGUUGCAGCCAAGGCACCUGGAUACACGGUACCAUUUUCGAUCAGAGAAACUUACUCAGACCUUGGGCCAAAUGCUUUUCCAGGGUCCCUCCAUUCCACCCCGCAGACAAAGAUGAAGCAAAUGGCCCGUUUAUAGCAAGAUCCCGCUGAGUUUAGUUGGCAGGGCAUCCAAGAGACCUUGCAAAGAUGAUUGCCACCAACGACCCAGGUGCAGCGGGAAGGAUGUGGGUACAAACCCUUCUUGGGUGUGUCGCUUUAGACCAGGCCAGAGCCAUCAAAGCACCAUGCUUUCCUCCACCCUUUCCGACUGCCCCAAGACUGGCACCGCGCUUAGUAAGAGCGAAAGUAACACUUGACUAUCUGGGGGCCAACAGUCUUUUCUGGGUGGUUGAAAGAGGUGCCAGACAGAGUUGCCAUCCGGGAGAGAAAAUUUUCACAGCCCCAAACCAGAUCCUCUGCCGCCUGGUGUGCCAGCAUCCAGGCCUGACCCUUACAGUUGACUUGACCACAUGACGACAAGUGAUAAGAGCACAUUUACUAGCAGGUGUGACUGCAAAUCCUUAUUUUCAUCUGUCAUUCCGAAAUACAUAACGGCACCUACUUAGGCCAGAAAACCUUCUUUUGCCUAACAGUGUUUUCGAGAUAAAUUGGCAGUGAGAGGAAGCCUGCGUUGUUAUAGCACUGUUUGUCAGCUGAUUCCACUUAUCAAUUUAUCAGUGCCAUUUUGCAAGAAAUAGUCUCCACUUCAGAGAUGACACCUCAUACAUAAUGGGGAAGCUCUCAGUGUUACUCGACUGCCAGCACAUUACAUAAGAGAAUGUGUCACCAGGCCUCAAAUAAAGCAGCAAGACUGUGUAUGUAGGUGACACCAAAGCCGAUAUGCGCUUAGCCAAACGGUGAUUCAAUGCCUUCAGAAUGUGGGAUGCAAAAAUGAGAUUCUUCGGGAGUCAGAGGUCGACUCGGGAGAGUGUGAGAGCAAGCUCUGACAGCUCCCAAGCUCUGCAAGCUGUUCUCAGUUUUCCAAGAGCAGGGAGGAAACAGCGAAGGCUGAGACUCUGAUACCCCUAAACGUUUGAAUCCGUUUCACUGUUGGGCUUAAUUUUAUGUUCUGUUUCCAUCCUCCUCUAACACCUUCCUUCCUUGAGGUUAAGCCGCAGAAUGGGCUUAAUGAGCUGGUUGGGUCAUCAGUUAUCAACUUAAGAUAAAUGGCAGUUGGGGGAAGGUGGGGGAAGGGGGUCCCAUCCCUGAAGUCCCAGUGCCUGGCCCAGUCAGCCAACCACCCCACUUCAUCAAGAGCAAAGGAAGGCUGUGGGUGGUUUUCAUAUCAAGACAGCAAAGCAGCAUGUUAAGAGCUCCCCCAGAAUCGUGCAGAAACCCCAAGUGUUCUUUCCAGCUCUGUCUGGUUCUGGGCUGAGCGGCUCAGACCAUGCCGUUAGCUCCUCUGGAUCUGUCUUCUGAGAAAUGAGACCUAAUAGACGUGGCCUUCUGCAGAAAAGUUCUGUAGCUGACUUUCUGACAAGCCACGGGCAAGAAGGCAGAGGAUAAUUAAUUACGACCACCGUGCAAGCCUCCAAAGAAAGAUGGGAAGCAGUCUGAGACAGCUCUCAGCCACAGAUGACGUGUUUUCCAACACCCACUUCAGGAGCCACAGAGGAGGAUAACGGGGAAGGAAGAGCCGUCCAGAAGAUGGAAUCAAGUGGAGAACCCGGACUGAGAAGGGACUCCCGGAAAACGUAACUGGAACACACCAAGGAGCAUUCCCUACUAUCAGAGUCGGGGAGCUUACACCUUGCACGUUCUAUGUAGCCAAAGCCAUAUAAAUUAAUGUACAACCAUGAAUCUACUCUUGGUAGGAAGAGGGAUGGAGGAAGAGGAAUAUUGGGACUAUCUGCUACUGCUACGGGUUUUCUUUUUGAGGUCCUGGAAAUGUCCCAGAGUUAGCCUGGUAGUUGUACAAAUCUGUAAAGUACGGAAAGCUACGUACUUGUCUACUUAAAAAUGGUUUAAAUGGUGAAUUUUAUGUUAUGUGAAUUUUCUCUCAUUAAAAGAGGAAACUCUUCCUUUUCCUAGAAAAAUGUAUUAAGCUGAGUAUGACUAAACACUAUCUGGUUUUAAUACACAAAGCAAUUAAGGAAUUUACAAAAGGCAAAACUAACCUUCCCAACUGGUAGAUCAUGUUACAGCAGUGCCAGUCUCUAAAGGGUUGGGAAGGAGAGAUGGUUUGACUCAGAAUAAUUCCCAACCUAGAACAUCUCUGAGUGUGCUGAGUGUCUAGUCUGCUUCUGUGUCCCAUUGGGAGAUUGGGUUUUCAUUUUUGCCUUGGAGCCACUUAGAGGUUGACUUAGAAGGGAUUUGAACCCAGAGAUCAUCCUCGGACUAGAUAGAAAUAGUCCAGACCCUGUGUGACAGGCCAAUCAAACACAAGGAAGCUUGGAGUUCCUGUCAUGGCGCAGUGGUUAAUGAAUCCGACUAGGAACCAUGAGGUUGCGGGUUCAAUCCCUGGCCUUGCUCGGUGG